rnacentral:rRNA from 1 species
CCUACGGGAGGCAGCAGUGGGGAAUAUUGGACAAUGGGCGAAAGCCUGAUCCAGCCAUGCCGCGUGUGUGAAGAAGGCCUUCGGGUUGUAAAGCACUUUCAGUGGGGAAGAAAGCCUUGGGGCUAAUACCCUCGAGGAAGGACAUCACCCACAGAAGAAGCACCGGCUAACUCCGUGCCAGCAGCCGCGGUAAUACGGAGGGUGCGAGCGUUAAUCGGAAUUACUGGGCGUAAAGCGCGCGUAGGCGGUCUGAUAAGCCGGUUGUGAAAGCCCCGGGCUCAACCUGGGAACGGCAUCCGGAACUGUCAGGCUAGAGUGCAGGAGAGGAAGGUAGAAUUCCCGGUGUAGCGGUGAAAUGCGUAGAGAUCGGGAGGAAUACCAGUGGCGAAGGCGGCCUUCUGGACUGACACUGACGCUGAGGUGCGAAAGCGUGGGUAGCAAACAGGAUUAGAAACCCUAGUAGUC